GCAGAAGGUUGCCAAUAGGUCUUCAAUGCAGUGAGAAAUUCCUGCACCCAGAGGCGUCCUUCAGCUGGCCCCUAAACAAAUAUAUAUACUAGUUCAGUGAUAAUGAAUGCCAUACUAAACUCCAAAUUAUAAAUUGUAGGUUAAUAAUAAAAAUAUACAAUAUGCAUUGUAGAAACAAAGCACAAAGAAUUGAAAAUUAUUUUCAAAGAAGAUAAAACCUUGACACAAGGAAAUCUUAUAUAAGAUUCCAUAGUACUUUUAGGAGUACUACUUUUCAAAAGUAGUUACAAGUAGAAAAAAAUUUGUACAUAUGCAGUGUUGUGCUUAGCUAGCUCUCAGGAAUCCAAGCAUGCAAAUAUAACAUUCAAAGAAAAAAACAUGAAACAAUAGAAAAAAGCAGGAUCUUUUUGAUAACUCUGGAACUAAUUUGGCAGAUAGAUUAUUAUCUGCCAGAAACGAGUGUCUGCCUCUCUGGCAGCAGACUUAGGAAACA
rnacentral:lncRNA from 1 species